rnacentral:rRNA from 1 species
AUAGUAUAUAUAUUAUUAUUAUUAAUAUUUAGAGUUUGUAAUUUAUUGGUUUCAAUAAUCAUUUUGUUGUUUGUGUAUAUGGUUUAUGAUCAAAUUGUUUUUAUGAUAGUUUAUUAGUACUGUAUUGGAAUUAUAUAAUUAUUUUUUGUAGUAUAUUUUAUUUGUUGUACCUUGUGUAUCAGGAUAUAUUAAAAUUUUGUAUAUAUAUAUAAUUCUCGAUUUUAUAAGAGUUAAUUGAUUAUUUUGAAUUAUUGUUAUAUAAUUAUUUAUAAUAUUUAGUUAGUAAUGAAAUGUUAUUCGUUUAUAAUGGUAUCUAGUUGUUCAGGAAAUAAAUUUAAUUUAUAUAUUUUUUAUUAUUGGUUUUUGUUUUAAUUUUUGUUUUAGUUAAUAUGAUUAUUUAGUGGGAUUAGCUUCUAAAUAGAUAUUCUAUAAUUUGUUAUUUAUUUAAGUUUUAUGGGAUUAGUGGUGUCUAUUGUUUUGAUAAUAUAAAAUUUUUAUUUAAUUGUUUUUGUUUUUUUUAAAGUGAUUUAGAUGUUUUACUGAUUUUUAAUUUAUUUAAUAAUAAAUUAUUUAUUAUUAUGGUAUAAUUAGUAUAUAAUAUAUUUAUGUAUUGAAUUAAUAAGGGGUAAUUAUAUUUAAAUAAUUUGGCAAAUAUUAUGUUCGAUUGUUUAUCAAAAACAUUGUUUUUUGUUUAUAUUAUUGGGAAAUAAGACCUGCCCACUGAAAUUUAUUAAAUGGCCGCGGUAUUUUGACCGUGCAAAGGUAGCAUAAUAAUUAGUUUUUUUAUUGAGGACUGGAAUGAAUGGUUAAACGAGAUGUAUUCUGUUUUGUGUAUAAAUUUGAUUGAAAUUGAUUAUUGAGUUAAAAGGCUUAAAAUGUUGUUGUGGGACAAUAAGACCCUAUAGAGUUUUACAAAAUUAUUUUUGUUUGUGUUGGUUUAUUAUUUAUAAUUAUAUUAUUGUUUUAUUGGGGUGAUAGAAAGAUAAAUUUAACUCUUUUUUUUUUGAAAUAUUUAUUUAUAGAUUUAUGAUCCAUUAUUAUUGAUUAUAAUACUAAAUUACCUUAGGGAUAACAGCGUUAUUUUUUUUGAGAGUUCAUAUUGACAAUAAAGAUUGCGACCUCGAUGUUGGAUUAGGAUAGAUUUUGGGUGUAGAAGUUCAUAAUAUUAAGUCUGUUCGACUUUUAAAUUCUUACAUGAUCUGAGUUCAAACCGGUGUAAGCCAGGUUGGUUUUUAUCUAUAAUUAUUAUAUUAAAUAUUUUAGUACGAGAGGACCAAAUAUUUUAAAUAAUUUUUAUUAUAUUAUAUAUUUAUUU